AUGGCAGACAGCAGCAUGAGCAGGGACGAGAGGUGGAACCUGGCCGGCGCGACGGCGCUGGUCACCGGUGGCAGCAAAGGGAUCGGCCACGCGAUCGUGGAGGAGCUGGCGGGGCACGGGGCGCGGGUGCACACGUGCGCCCGGAGCGCGGCGGAGCUGGAGGAGUGCCGCCGCCGGUGGGAGGCCAAGGGGCUCCCGGUCACCGUCUCCGUCUGCGACGUCUCCCUACGCACCCACAGGGUGCAGCUCAUGGAGACGAUUAAGCAGGUCUUCGACGGCAAGCUCGACAUACUGCUAGGACCGGAGAUCAUAGAAAACGAGUUGGCCAGGACUCCGAUGCGGCGAGCAGGCGAGCCGGCCGAGGUGGCGACUGUGGUGUCAUUUCUAUGCAUGCCGGCGGCGUCCUUCGUCACCGGCCAAGUCAUCACCGUCGAUGGUGGUCGGACCAUUAGUGGUUAG
rnacentral:rRNA from 1 species